AACGCGAAGAACCUUACCCAGGUUUGAAAUACAGAGGACAGCUUCAGAGAUGGAGUCUCCCGCAAGGGUCUUUGUACAGGUGCUGCAUGGCUGUCGUCAGCUCGUGCCGUGAGGUGUUGGGUUAAGUCCCGCAACGAGCGCAACCCUUAUCAUUAGUUGCCAACACGCGAGGUGGGAACUCUAAUGAGACUGCCCGGGUUAACCGGGAGGAAGGUGAGGAUGACGUCAAGUCCGCAUGGCCUUUAUACCUGGGGCUACACACGUUCUACAAUGGUCGGUACAGAAGGCAGCAAGACCGCAAGGUGGAGCAAAUCCCUAAAAACCGAUCUCAGUUCGGAUUGUAGUCUGCAACUCGGCUACAUGAAGUUGGAAUUGCUAGUAAUGACGUGUCAGCAAUAACGUCGUGAAUACGUUCCCGGGCCUUGUA
rnacentral:rRNA from 1 species